UUUUUNGGUUUUUUNNNCCCCCGUCAGGACGAACGCUGGCGGCGUGCCUAAUACAUGCAAGUCGAACGCUUUUUCUUUCACCGGAGCUUGCUCCACCGAAAGAAAAAGAGUGGCGAACGGGUGAGUAACACGUGGGUAACCUGCCCAUCAGAAGGGGAUAACACUUGGAAACAGGUGCUAAUACCGUAUAACACUAUUUUCCGCAUGGAAGAAAGUUGAAAGGCGCUUUUGCGUCACUGAUGGAUGGACCCGCGGUGCAUUAGCUAGUUGGUGAGGUAACGGCUCACCAAGGCAACGAUGCAUAGCCGACCUGAGAGGGUGAUCGGCCACACUGGGACUGAGACACGGCCCAGACUCCUACGGGAGGCAGCAGUAGGGAAUCUUCGGCAAUGGACGAAAGUCUGACCGAGCAACGCCGCGUGAGUGAAGAAGGUUUUCGGAUCGUAAAACUCUGUUGUUAGAGAAGAACAAGGAUGAGAGUAAAAUGUUCAUCCCUUGACGGUAUCUAACCAGAAAGCCACGGCUAACUACGUGCCAGCAGCCGCGGUAAUACGUAGGUGGCAAGCGUUGUCCGGAUUUAUUGGGCGUAAAGCGAGCGCAGGCGGUUUCUUAAGUCUGAUGUGAAAGCCCCCGGCUCAACCGGGGAGGGUCAUUGGAAACUGGGAGACUUGAGUCAGAAGAGGAG
rnacentral:rRNA from 1 species